AGGGCUGGUCGGGCAAUCGCAGACAGAAGCUGCUUGCAGCGGCUGCCUGAGGAAAGUCCGCGCUCCACGGAGCACAGCGCCGGGUAACACCCGGGUGGCGAAAUCCACAGACAGGGCCACAGAAAAAAACCGCUCUGGCGGCUGAGGCCGUCAGAGUAAGGGUGAAAAGGUGGUGUAAGAGACCACCGGCGCCGGGAGCAAUCCAGGCGGCCAGGCAACCCUCGCUGGGAGCAAGGUCAAGCAGGAGUGGUGCCCAACAGGGCGGAAGCUGCUCGUUUCUCACACUCCGGGUGGACUGCUGGAGCCUGCUGGUAACAGCAGGUCAAGAAAGAUGGUUGCCCAGGCUGAGGAACGGCCGGAUCUCCGGUUGAUCCAAAGCUGGACAGAACGCGGCUUACAGACUGGCCCUCCCU
rnacentral:RNase_P_RNA from 1 species